rnacentral:tRNA from 1 species
UCCCUGGUGGCUCAGAUGGUAAAGAAUCUGCCUGCAAUGCAGGAGACCUGGGUUUGAUUCCUGGGUAAGGAA